rnacentral:rRNA from 1 species
UACGUAGGGUGCAAGCGUUGUCCGGAAUUAUUGGGCGUAAAGAGCUCGUAGGCGGUCUGUCGCGUCUGCUGUGAAAACUCAGGGCUUAACCCUGAGCUUGCAGUGGGUACGGGCAGACUAGAGUGCGGUAGGGGAGACUGGAAUUCCUGGUGUAGCGGUGAAAUGCGCAGAUAUCAGGAGGAACACCAAUGGCGAAGGCAGCUCGCUGGGACGUGACUGACGCUGGAGAGCGCGAAAGCGUGGGGAGCAAACAGG